rnacentral:rRNA from 1 species
AAUGGCUCAUUAAAUCAGUUAUCGUUUAUUUGAUAGUACCUACCAACUACAUGGAUAACCCGUGGUAAAUUUAGAGCUAAUACAUGCUAAAAACCCCGACUUCGGGAGGGGUGUAUUUAUUAGAUAAAAAACCAAUGCCCCUCGGGGCUUCUUGGUGAUUCAUGAUAACUUAACGGAUCGCAUGGCCUUGCGCCGGCGACGGUUCAUUCAAAUUUCUGCCCUAUCAACUUUCGAUGGUAAGGUAUUGGCUUACCAUGGUUUCAACGGGUAACGGGGAAUUAGGGUUCGAUUCCGGAGAGGGAGCCUGAGAAACGGCUACCACAUCCAAGGAAGGCAGCAGGCGCGCAAAUUACCCAAUCCCGACACGGGGAGGUAGUGACAAUAAAUACUGAUACAGGGCUCUUUUGGGUCUUGUAAUCGGAAUGAGUACAAUUUAAACCCCUUAACGAGGAACAAUUGGAGGGCAAGUCUGGUGCCAGCAGCCGCGGUAAUUCCAGCUCCAAUAGCGUAUAUUAAAGUUGUUGCAGUUAAAAAGCUCGUAGUUGAACCUUGGGCCUGGCUGGCCGGUCCGCCUCACCGCGUGUACUGGUCCGGCCGGGCCUUUCCUUCUGGAGAACCGCAUGCCCUUCACUGGGUGUGCCGGGGAACCAGGACUUUUACUUUGAAAAAAUUAGAGUGUUCAAAGCAGGCCUUUGCUCGAAUACGUUAGCAUGGAAUAAUAGAAUAGGACGUGCGGUCCUAUUUUGUUGGUUUCUAGGACCGCCGUAAUGAUUAAUAGGGAUAGUCGGGGGCAUCAGUAUUCAAUUGUCAGAGGUGAAAUUCUUGGAUUUAUUGAAGACUAACUACUGCGAAAGCAUUUGCCAAGGAUGUUUUCAUUAAUCAGUGAACGAAAGUUAGGGGAUCGAAGACGAUCAGAUACCGUCGUAGUCUUAACCGUAAACUAUGCCGACUAGGGAUCGGGCGAUGUUUCUAUCUUGACUCGCUCGGCACCU